rnacentral:lncRNA from 1 species
AGGAACCAAACUCGGGUUCUUUAUGAGCAGAACUCUCCCUCAACUGCUGAGUCAUUUUUUCAACUGUAAUUUUAUUUAUUUUUAAAUUUAUAUUGGAUAUGCUUUGAGCAAAGUGUACUUUUAGCACCAACGAAAUCCAAAUAGGAAAAGGAGAGAUGAGGGUUGAGAAUCAAGAAUUAGCCCCAUUGCCAUCUCCGCCACACUACCUUACAUCGUCAUAACUACCAAAACCUCUUUCCUCUGUCUGUGCCUCCAGUAGGCAACAGCGAUUCCUAAGCACGUUUUCUAUACCGUCCUUAUUCAAAACUUGCAUGUGGCGUAAAAUGGUUGGUGGCACCAAGGUAUUUUUUUUCCUGUUGGUUUCAUAAGGUCUUCGUCCUAAUCUUAUCCAAGAAAGCAAGCUGGACCGACUUCAAAUCCAAACUUCUGGUUCUGAUCACCAAAAUCAUUGAUCAUUACAUCAAUGAUGGGUACCUGAUCAAUUUUCGGAGUAUUGAUCUCAAUCACUGUCUUUUCAUAGCCUUUUCGAGACUGUAAAGUUAAGCAGAAAUUAAAAGUUAUUUCAUCAC